CAAAAGGAAGGCAUGCACUUACAGAGAGAAAAGUUGAGCACUGUUCUGCUUGGCCAGAUGAGCCACUGUUCUGCUCCAAUGCCUUGCACCGAGGGAAGUCACAUCCCAUGAGAGAGCUGACUCUUUUUGGAGCCAUCACCUCAUUUCCUAUGCUGUGUGAUGCCUUCAGCCUCAGCCAUGGGGAAUGUGAUGCGCACCAGUGUUGACAGACUGGCCGGAAGACUGAGGUGUGAGACAAACCCAUGAGCUUCACACAGCCCAGCCGGAUCUAGACCAGCACGUGUGCAGCUACAUUUUCCUCUACCCUGAAGGACAAAAGAAUUGAUCCAUGACAUCUCAUCUUCAUCCCACCUCCAAAUGUCAUCCAGCCAUGCUGCAACAGCUUUACUGCACAGAAGCUCCACAUCACAGUUGUGAUGAUGUGCCAUUACACUUCGGUGGCAUGUCACCAGAUCAGGAACUCAUGAGGGUGUUCAGACACCUUAAAGAGCAGUGACUCG
rnacentral:lncRNA from 1 species